rnacentral:ncRNA from 1 species
AUAAAUGCAAUGAUGGAGAGUAGUACAUGUUUGGAACUUUACAGAGAGCUGAUAUGUGGUGGAAAUCAGUAAGGGAUGAACAUGGAAUGGACUCUGGAGCUUCUAGCUGAAAUGAGUAGGCUAAGACGAUUUGCUUCGCGUUAAAGAGGCAUCAAGUGAGCUAUAAUUGUAGCUAAUAAAGGUGGUACCGCGGGAGUCUCUCGUCCUUUUC